rnacentral:rRNA from 1 species
UACAGAGGGGGCAAGCGUUAUUCGGAAUUAUUGGGCGUAAAGGGUGCGUAGGCGGCGCGGUAAGUCGGGUGUGAAAUCUCGGAGCUUAACUCCGAAACUGCAUUCGAUACUGCCGUGCUUGAGGACUGGAGAGGAGACUGGAAUUUACGGUGUAGCGGUGAAAUGCGUAGAGAUCAUGAGGAAGACCAGUGGCGAAGGCGGGUCUCUGGACAGUUCCUGACGCUGAGGCACGAAGGCCAGGGGAGCAAACGGG